AUUGAACGCUGGCGGAAUGCUUUACACAUGCAGGUCGAACGGCAGCACGGGACUUCGGGUCUGGUGGCGAGUGGCGAACGGGUGAGUAAUACAUCGGAACGUGGCCCAGUCGUGGGGGAUAACUGCUCGAAAGAGCAGCUAAUACCGCAUACGAUCUGAGGAUGAAAGCGGGGGACCUUCGGGCCUCGCGCGAUUGGAGCGGCCGAUGGCAGAUUAGGUAGUUGGUGGGGUAAAGGCUCACCAAGCCGACGAUCUGUAGCUGGUCUGAGAGGACGACCAGCCACACUGGGACUGAGACACGGCCCAGACUCCUACGGGAGGCAGCAGUGGGGAAUUUUGGACAAUGGGCGAAAGCCUGAUCCAGCCAUUCCGCGUGCAGGAUGAAGGCCCUCGGGUUGUAAACUGCUUUUGUACGGAACGAAAAGCCUUUGGUUAAUACCUGGAGGUCAUGACGGUACCGUAAGAAUAAGCACCGGCUAACUACGUG
rnacentral:rRNA from 1 species